rnacentral:rRNA from 1 species
UAGGGAAUAUUGGUCAAUGGAUGGAAGUCUGAACCAGCCAUGCCGCGUGCAGGAAGAAGGCCUUCUGGGUUGUAAACUGCUUUUGCCAGGGGAUAAAGAGCCCAUGCGUGGGAAAUUGAAGGUACCUGGUGAAUAAGCCACGGCUAACUACGUGCCAGCAGCCGCGGUAAUACGUAGGUGGCAAGCGUUGUCCGGAUUUAUUGGGUUUAAAGGGUGCGUAGGCGGCCUUAUAAGUCAGUGGUGAAAUACUCUAGCUUAACUAGAGGGGUGCCAUUGAUACUGCAAGGCUUGAGUGGAGUCGAGGUAGGCGGAAUUGACGGUGUAGCGGUGAAAUGCUUAGAUAUCGUCAAGAACACCGAUAGUGUAGACAGCUUACUAGGCUUCUACUGACGCUGAGGCACGAAAGUGUGGGGAUCGAAACAGGAUUAGAUACCUGGUAGUCCACACUGUAAACGUUGAUAACUCGCUG